GCAAGUCUGACGGAGCAMCGCCGCGUGAGUGAAGAAGGUUUUCGGAUCGUAAAGCUCUGUUGCCAAGGAAGAACGCCUUGGGGAGUCACUGCCCUGAGGGUGACGGUACUUGAGAAGAAAGCCCCGGCUAACUACGUGCCAGCAGCCGCGGUAAUACGUAGGGGGCAAGCGUUGUCCGGAAUUAUUGGGCGUAAAGCGCGCGCAGGCGGCCGCUUAAGUUUGGUGUUUAAGCCCGGGGCUCAACCCCGGAUCGCACCGAAAACUGGGUGGCUUGAGUGCAGGAGAGGAAAGCGGAAUUCCACGUGUAGCGGUGAAAUGCGUAGAGAUGUGGAGGAACACCAGUGGCGAAGGCGGCUUUCUGGACUGUAACUGACGCUGAGGCGCGAAAGCGUGGGGAGCAAACAGGAUUAGAUACCCUGGUAGUCCACGCCGUAAACGAUGAGUGCUAGGUGUUAGGGGUUUCGAUACCCUUGGUGCCGAAGUUMACWCAAUAAGCACUCCGCCUGGGGAGUACGCUCGCAAG
rnacentral:rRNA from 1 species